rnacentral:lncRNA from 1 species
AGCAGCAAUGAUCCUAAUGGAGGAGAAUGUGAGUAUCCAAAACAGGUGUAGUCCAUAAAGCAGUCUGAGGGUAGACAGCUGAGAGGCUUCCUGCUCCUACCCAUCCAUCAAGGACGCAGAUCCUAAGAAUCCACUGACAAAAGCAAGCCAGAAGUCAGUUCUUGGAUGGACUAAAGCCCUAGGAAGAUUCUCAUAACAGGAACAAGGAAAAGUGGCUAACUCAGAAGACCAGGACUGAUGGGUGCUGAGAGGAGAGAAAGCAAGGAAGGAGGCGUCAGGAUGAGGAACUGAAGAGUAGAAAACACAACUCCAGGGCUGACAAGGAGCACAAUGGCCUACCCUGCCUGCUCUCCAGACACGGUAAUACAUUGUAUCUGUUUCAAUCAAAUCUUACAGGCCUAGGAGCCAUUCUGUCUUUUUAAGCUACCUACUGUGGUUCCUGCCUGGACUUUCCCCGUAAUUCAGAUCUUCUUGCUCCUCCCCCAAGAAUGGCUCAAAACCCCUAGAUGUAUGAAGCAUCUUUACCUACCCCAGUCCUCCCUUGAUGCUGCCUUCUGGAGUUCAAGUCCCCCUACCCAGAAACUUGACGAUCAAACUACCCAAAUUGGGAAGACAGCUGCUGUGCAUGAGGAUACUCAAGCAGGCCUGUAGAGACGUUGACAUGAAGAGGAGCUAAGACCUCCCACCAACAACCAUACCAAUUUGCCAGCUAUGUAGGUGAGCCACUUUGGAAGUAGACCACAGCUCCAGUCAAGACUUCAGACGACAGCAGAGUUUUAGCCAACAUCUUGACUGCAACCUCAUGAGAGACCCAAGCCAGAACUGCCCAGCUAAGCUGCUCCUGGACUCCUGAUCCACAGAAACUUGAAAUUACGGUGCUCACCCCCUCAGCCUUCCUCACCACAAAACACCACCUUCCAACAGAAAGAAUCGCUGUCACGGGGUGGAGGAUAAAAAGAGGUGUCUCAGCCAAGGACUUAAAGGGUAGAAGACAAAUUAUUUUGCCUCCUGCACAGUUUGUCAACCUCCAAUGGAACUUUCUGAGACACCAUACUAGAGCCUGCAGAUGGGAUCCUGGAAAACUGGCAGAAGCUGAAGAAAGAAAUGCCUCCUGUUAAAUACCUGAUUUCUCACACAACAUAGGCCUAACUUUGGGAGCCCAGUGUAUCACCACCUCCUGAUGAGAUAUAACUAUUUAACUGAACUGACCUAUUCUCAAGACUGAGAUGGUUCAAUGAGAUCUGGAGCAAUCUAUCAACCUACCUUCUGGACUGUGAAACUUAUUUGGAGUUUCAGUGGCAGAACAGAGAGGGAACAGAAUAUACCACACCGAAGUAUGCCUCUUUGGCAUAAGGAUUAUUUCAGGCUAUUUUUAAGAAAUAGCAGAUACAAAAGAUCUGAAAACCAAGUAGAAGCUACCUUUUUGCAAGAGAUAUUUAUAAGAAAAAUCUCUAUUUGUAAAGGCAUCUCCCUGUCUGUAGAGGAAGAGAAGGAUGACUCUAAAUCUCUAGAAAUUCUCAUCAAUGGGAAAGGCAAUGACUUAAAGCUGCAUAACAAUCUUACCCUUAUUUACUGCGCUUUUCCUGGUAAACUCCCAAAGCUGCUUCCCCACUCCACAACAUCUUCUGUCUUUAGAUGGAGAUGUUUCUUAAGGUGGUGGCUUGGGCUAUUUCAGAGAGUUAUUCAAUUUUCCUGGGUAUCUUCCAUGUAUACAAAAGGUUUACAUGUUAUUAAACUUUCACUUGUUUUUCUGCUUUUACUCUAUCAUUUUAUUACAGUGGUGUUUUAGCCAAGAACCUAGAAGGGCAGAGGGAAAAUUAUUUUUUCUCCCCAUACAUGCUUCCCUUUAUGCUUUCAAUAGAGCUGUAUCUGAGAAGGGAGAGAGUUGCUUUGCAGAAUUACUGCACAUGAGACAGAUUUUGGCACUGUGUUUGCUUCUAGUAAGGUAACUCAAAUUUUUUAUUUUCAAUGUGGUCUCCUGGUCUCUCUACGAUGUUC